rnacentral:misc_RNA from 1 species
AUUGUUAGUAUUUUUCAUAACAGAGAAAUCCUUAAGGGCCAGUGGCCCAGUGGCUAAUGGUUUUUUGUGGAUGAUGGGUUCACUCCACUACUCUUAUGAAAUAUUUCGUUAUUUUGUUAUCUUUCUUGUUCUUUGUUUCCCAUGCCUUGUUUGUAAAUGUGAAGCAUCUAAAAUUAAGCAGCAUUGUUAUUCUUUGUUCAACUUGACGUGUUAUUCCUGAUAAA